CCUACGGGAGGCAGCAGUGGGGAAUAUUGCACAAUGGGGGAAACCCUGAUGCAGCGACGCCGCGUGAGUGAAGAAGUAUUUCGGUAUGUAAAGCCCUAUCAGCAGGGAAGAAAAUGACGGUACUUGUAUAAGAAGCCGCGGCUAACUACGUGCCAGUAGCCGCGGUCAUACGUAGGGGGGCAAGCGUUAUCCGGAUUUACUGGGUGUAAAGGGAGCGUAGGCGGCCAGACAAGUCAGGAGUGAAAGCCCAGGGCUCAACCCUGGGACUGCUUUUGAAACUGCCUGGCUGGAGUGCAGGAGAGGGAAGCGGAAUUCCUGGUGUAGCAGUGAAAUGCGUAGAUAUUGGGAGGAACACCAGUGGCGAAGGCGGCUUACUGGACUGUAACUGACGUUGAGGCACGAAGGCGUGGGGAGCGAAAGGGAUUAGAUACCCCGGUAGUC
rnacentral:rRNA from 1 species